AUAUCACAGGAUCAAGUAUUGCUAGCGAAAACUGCAUCAACUUUGGUACAUGACGGGCAAGUAAGUUUGAAGGACUAUAAUAAUCAUCGCUCAACAAGCAUUGCCAUUAAGAACUGCAUGAAUGUUGCUGUCUUGACGGCACACAACAGUUGCCUCCAGAUGCAGUGCUUCUUGUUCAUCGAGCUUCUUGUCCUGGGAGAGUUCAGACGUAGCAAAUAUGAUUCAGUUAGCGCAACUCCAUGUAUGUGCCAUACAUUCAUACUUAAAAAAUUAAUCAUGAGCUGUUCAAAUAAAUAUGCAUCAACAAACACCAUCUGACUGUGUGCUGCACAUACCACAAGGAAGGAUAAAUAGAGAAGAUAUGACAUUCAUCGCAAAAGGCAACCUAAAGUAUGUUUCAAUGUUGGAAAUGGCAGACAAGCCAACUAUUUUGUGGACAAUCCUAACUUAGCAAUAAUGAACAAAUUAUAUAAAUAUUAUUUAUCUUGUACAGGAAAAUAACUCUAGUGCAUUCUAGAGAUUCGUAACAACCGGCGGAAUUAGGCAAUACAAUUAUUUACAUAAUUGUCCUAAUAGAAAUCCAUCCUUUAUAAAACUUGCCAUUUUCAAAAUAGCUUAUCGUAUGUACAAAUAAGAAAAGAGCAUAUCUUAUGAUAAAAUGAUGUGUUGAACCCUCAAAGCCGCUGGACAUUUUAAUCACUCAAAAACUGCUCAUGAGUUUGACAAGAACAAUAUUAGCAGAGCCACUCCCUAAUACAAACCAGUGAACCAUGUACCAAGUAUAAUAAUAGACACGUAACAUGUCUAUUCUUGGCAUUGUGAAGCAUAAACAAGUCUGUACGCUGCAAAUAGUCAUUUCUACACUUACCAUAACAUCAUCACUAUAGUACUUUUUUACUGAAAAGAGCUCAAUUGUGUUUGUUUGGGUACUCCACUAGGUCGUGUUCUAUGAAAAAUAUCUUGCAACAUUAUUUGCAAACACACUAGGCUUGGAAAAGAAAAUUGAUCGGGUAACCACACAGAAUGAAUGCUUGAACAGCCAUGUAUAUACCUAAGAUCAGCAAAUUACAGCUUUCAACGACUAUGUAAAAGCAUAAGUAGCAACAUCAAACAAGAAAGGGAUUUUUAUGACUAUCAUGCUGAUGCAAAUUAGUGAUGUGGCAUGCACUAUAUUAUAAAUUGUUAUAACAAGGAAACUACAACACCGUGGGAAAUAUAAGUGAACAAGAUGAGAGAGAGGCCCGUGUCAUGGAAGAAGAAUUAAUCCUAAAUCACGAACAUGCAUACUUGCUUUAGUGAUAGCAGAGACUUCAAUCAAAUUGCAAGGUCUCUCGCCGGUGG
rnacentral:lncRNA from 1 species